rnacentral:rRNA from 1 species
AGUGAACGCUGGCGGUAGGCCUAACACAUGCAAGUCGAACGGCAGCACAGUAAGAGCCUGCUCUUACGGGUGGCGAGUGGCGGACGGGUGAGGAAUACAUCGGAAUCUACUUUUUCGUGGGGGAUAACGUAGGGAAACUUACGCUCAUACCGCAUACGACCUACGGGUGAAAGCAGGGGAUCUUCGGACCUUGCGCGAUUGAAUGAGCCGAUGUCGGAUUAGCUAGUUGGCGGGGUAAAGGCCCACCAAGGCGACGAUCCGUAGCUGGUCUGAGAGGAUGGUCAGCCACACUGGAACUGAGACACGGUCCAGACUCCUACGGGAGGCAGCAGUGGGGAAUAUUGGACAAUGGGCGCAAGCCUGAUCCAGCCAUACCGCGUGGGUGAAGAAGGCCUUCGGGUUGUAAAGCCCUUUUGUUGGGAAAGAAAAGCAGCAGGUUAAUACCCCGCUGUUCUGACGGUACCCAAAGAAUAAGCACCGGCUAACUUCGUG